GGCAGUGUAGCUUAAUGGUAGAGCACCCGCCUUUCACGCGGAAGACAACCGUUCGAUUCGGUUCGCUGCCC
rnacentral:tRNA from 1 species